AGCUAGUAGUGGUUGUUAGUGCAUGCAAGAUUGGUCAAGUCGUGGAGAUAGUUAGUAGCCUAGAUAAAAGGUCCUAGUAAAUUUAGUCCUGAGUGCAUGGCGAGAUUUGCUGGCCGUUGGAGGAAGUGCUAGUCGUGGGCAUGCAUAUAGCUAAGAAUUAUGUAGUGGGCAGGUCAGGUUGUUAGUGGCCGGCGUCCAGUUUAUGCGUACAUGAGUCUUGUACUCCUAUAUAAGUUGAACAACUAAAUAUGAGGAGAGCCCGUGAGGGCACUAUCACAAUGUAGUCUUUGUGUUCAUCAAGGAAGUGUUCUGGGCAAAGCCCUUGGUCAUCUUCUUUGGUUGUGUGCGUGCGUGUGUGUGUUCUUGUGCUCUUGAGAAACCACAAGAGAGUUGAGUGGAAGAAGAAGAGGGGCGCUGCGACGAGGCGGCGCCAACAAUUGGUAUCAUGAGCCUGGUUAUCGUGGGCGUGGUUCACCAUGCCGGAGGUGUGCCGGCGAGGGCGGCGUUCGUCGGCGGCCGCACGAAGCUCCGAACCAUGUGUCGGCCUAUGGAGGUGCGCGGCGCUGCGGUUGCCAUGGCGGACACAGUGUGGCUGCGUGGCGGACUCCAUGUGAGGGGGGCGUCGGUGGCGCAAGGUGGACACCGUUGGCGGUGUGAUGCUGCUAGCGGCUGGUGUGUGUCUUCAUCAUUGUCGAGCCGCAUCACGAGUGAUGGAGCAAGGUAUGUCGCCUGGUAAGUUGUGUCACUGGCGGCAUGGAGGUGGUGGCCAUGGAGCGGAGGCCAUUGCCAUAAGGAGUUCCAUGUGCGAGUUGUCGACAAGGUGCGUCAUCGUCGACAACAUGGAGGUGAGUCAACGGCGAGUUGUGGCAUCGGUGGCGAACAUGGAGGUGAGUCACCGGCGAGUUGCGACACCGGUGGCGAAGAUGAAGGCGAGUCAUCGGCGAGUUGCGGCACCGGUGGCGAAUAUGCGACAACAAGUGUGUCACGUGGCACGCACGUGGUGAAGGCGUAGGAGGUGUGGCUCUCAUCGAAGCAAACGACAACGAUGACAAUCGGCGUGACAAGAUGACAUUGGCGGCCGUCUCCGUGUUACACCGGCGACAUCGAUGACCACGGGCUUCAGGAGAGAACUAAGUUAACAAGAUUAGGAAGGUGAAUGUUGGAACUAAUCUUGUUAUUACUGCUAAAAGUAGUUGAUUAGAUCAUGCAUGCAUGUAGUUGAGACGUGACACUAAAAGCUGCGGUUGUGUACGAACGUAGAGACGUGAUCACGUGUAUAUAGAAAGCUAGUAGUGGUUGUUAGUGCAUGCAAGAUUGGUCAAGUCGUGGAGUUAGUUAGUAGCCUAGAUAAAAGGUCCUAGUAGAUUUAGUCCUGAGUGCAUGACGAGAUUUGCUGGCCGUUGGAGGAAGUGCUAGUCGUGGGCAUGCAUAUAGCUAAGAAUUAGGUAGUGGGCAGGUCAGGUUGUUAGUGGCCGGCAUCCAGUUUAUGCGUACAAGAGUCUUGUACUCCUAUAUAAGUUGAACAACUGAAUAUGAGGAGAGGCCGUGAGGGCACAACCACAAUGUAGUCUUUGGGUUCAUCAAGGAAGUGUUCUGGGCAAAGCCCUUGGUCAUCUUCUUUG
rnacentral:lncRNA from 1 species